rnacentral:rRNA from 1 species
GAUGAACGCUGGCGGCGUGCCUAAUACGUGCAAGUCGAGCGAACGGACGAGAAGCUUGCUUCUCUGAUGUUAGCGGCGGACGGGUGAGUAACACGUGGAUAACCUACCUAUAAGACUGGGAUAACUUCGGGAAACCGGAGCUAAUACCGGAUGAUAUUUUGAACCGCAUGGUUCAAAAGUGAAAGACGGUCUUGCUGUCACUUAUAGAUGGAUCCGCGCUGCAUUAGCUAGUUGGUAAGGUAACGGCUUACCAAGGCAACGAUGCAUAGCCGACCUGAGAGGGUGAUCGGCCACACUGGAACUGAGACACGGUCCAGACUCCUACGGGAGGCAGCAGUAGGGAAUCUUCCGCAAUGGGCGAAAGCCUGACGGAGCAACGCCGCGUGAGUGAUGAAGGUCUUCGGAUCGUAAAACUCUGUUAUUAGGGAAGAACAUAUGUGUAGGUAACUGUGCACAUCUUGACGGUACCUAAUCAGAAAGCCACGGCUAACUACGUG